UACAGAGGGGGCAAGCGUUGUUCGGAAUUACUGGGCGUAAAGAGCUCGUAGGCGGUUCCGUAAGUCAGAUGUGAAAACUCAGGGCUCAACCCGGAGACGCCAUCUGAUACUGCGGUGACUGGAGUCUGGUAGGGGAACACGGAAUUCCUGGUGUAGCGGUGAAAUGCGCAGAUAUCAGGAGGAACACCGAUGGCGAAGGCAGUGUUCUGGGCCAGUACUGACGCUGAGGAGCGAAAGCGUGGGGAGCAAACAGG
rnacentral:rRNA from 1 species